AUGAAAUCAAUUAAUUGAUUUUUCUCAGAUUCAUUACAUAUACUACACCUUGGGAAAAUGUCAUUUAAAUGGAUUAAUUUACUUAGGACUGAGUGUGAACGAACGCAAUGCUUUUCUCGGAGUAUUAGUUUAUACUCGUAUCUGUACUUUUACUUUUUUUCUAAUUGUGUUAAUGUGCUUCGCUUCUAAUUUAGUAUUAGCAUAUUGUGUGUGUCUACAGAAAAAUAUAUAUGUGCCCUUUGAUGAUCAGAACAUCCCCUCAAAGAUGCCACACCUGCCUGUGUAAGGGAAUUCAAAUAAGUACAAAAUUAUGACAUAUGGGUUUGUCAACUCUUAUUAUUAUUCUCAUUGUUCUUGGAGCCCUACAAGUUUGACAUUGAUUCGUUAGACACUUUUAUGUACAUACAUAUGUAAUUAAAAUAUUAUAAAAGAAAACCGGAUACACACAUACAAAAGAGAAACAAAACACCUUCCAUAGUCAAAUGAAUUGCACCAAUAAAAUAUGACAAUAAACUGCUGUCUACUAUAUACGCCAUUUUAUGACCAAUCUUUUGGUCAUCAUGACUUCUCUUGGAUGGUAUUGCAAAAAGGAAAUAAGGAUGGAUCAUAAAAUAUGUUUACAAAGGAUUACAAAUUGAAAUAACGUCAUCAUCUGCGGUGGAUUGAAAACGUUUGGAUUGUAUAUAUAUUCACCGUUGAAGUCAUUUACAUGGGUUCUUUUUACUUCCAUUUAAUGUGCUUCAUCAUAAACAAUGUAUAUAAUAUUUUAAUACAAACAUCUUAACCA
rnacentral:lncRNA from 1 species